UACGAAGGGGGCUAGCGUUGCUCGGAAUCACUGGGCGUAAAGGGUGCGUAGGCGGGUUUUUAAGUCAGGGGUGAAAUCCCGGAGCUCAACUUCGGAAUUGCCUUUGAUACUGUCUGUCUUGAGUCCGGGAGAGGUGAGUGGAAUUCCUAGUGUAGAGGUGAAAUUCGUAGAUAUUAGGAAGAACACCAGUGGCGAAGGCGGCUCACUGGCCCGGUACUGACGCUCAUGUGCGAAAGCGUGGGGAGCAAACAGG
rnacentral:rRNA from 1 species